ACUUCAAUAUGUACGUUAUGCGUGAGCAAUCAUUUGUUCCAGCUGCAGUAUCAUUAAAGGGCCAGCAUUUCCCUGAACACUGGGAAUGUUAUUUGUGGAUUAUAUAGUUUUUCUUUACCCCCCUUUAUGCUCAGGUUCAACAGGUAAGACUCAUGAAUACAUGAAAAUCUCAGUCGAUCGCAGCGUGCUACACCAUAGGACUGGUUGAGUCUGGAUUACAUGCCCUGGCUGGAGAAAUAGCUUAGGACCUGUUUUUCUACUGAAUGCUGUUUAAUGACUGAGGCAUUACUAACACAGUGAGAUGCCAGUCUCUUGACACUAACAUACAGAUAGAUAUGAGAAUGUCAAGGAUGCUAAAGUGAUUGUAAGAAUUUGCAUUGACAAGAAAAGAUUGUGUUCAGGUCCUCACCUGCAUGAACCACCAGUGACAACAGCGUACCUCACACAAUGGACCAAGUGCUAUGCAGUUCACAUGAAUAGAAAUGUUGUUCAGCGUAUUAGCAUGGGAAGAAAGGCAGAAAGACUUGAAUAAAAUUAGUAUAUCUGUUUGUGUUUGAACCAGCUACAUAGUUCUAUACCUGUAUCUCAUGAUGAAAAAAAUAAA